rnacentral:tRNA from 1 species
GUUUUAAUAAUUUAAUUUAAAAUAUUAGUCUUGUAAACUAAAAAUAAGAUCUAUCUUUUAAAACA